rnacentral:rRNA from 1 species
AAUUUUUCUCAAUGGGCGAAAGCCUGAAGGAGCGACGCCGCGUGGGGGAUGAAGGGCUUCGGCUCGUAAACCCCUGUCAUUUGCGAACAAACCUUACGAUCUAAUAAGUCGUGAGCUGAUUGUAGCGAAAGAGGAAGGGACGGCUAACUCUGUGCCAGCAGCCGCGGUAAUACAGAGGUCCCGAGCGUUGUUCGGAUUCACUGGGCGUAAAGGGUGCGUAGGUGGCGAGGUAAGUUUGAUGUGAAAUCUCCGGGCUUAACCCGGAAACUGCAUUGAAUACUAUCUCGCUCGAGGAUUGGAGGGGGGACUGGAAUACUUGGUGUAGCAGUGAAAUGCGUAGAUAUCAAGUGGAACACCAGUGGCGAAGGCGAGUCCCUGGACAACUCCUGACACUGAGGCACGAAAGCUAGGGGAGCAAAC